UGUGUAUAUAUAUAUGUAUUUUUCUUGAUAUGAAGAUGUGUGUGCAUGCGCAUGUAUGUAUGUAUGUAUAGAUGUGCGUGCAUGCAUGUAUGUGUAUGCCCAUAUACAUCUUUCUUGGGUAUUGUACAUUUUUAUGUAAGGGUGGCAUAUGUAAACCCAUUUUUUCCUUAUAUCUUUUUGUGGGGAUGAUAUGUUGUAUUUAUGACAUUUUUUUAUAUAUAG